GGGGAAAGAUAGGUAAGGGAGACCCAUUGAACUAAUCAGCAGGACUUCUUUAAGACUAUGUUGAAAUGAUCCUUGUUAAAAACAGAUGAUGUGGAUCAGAAAUUAAUGAACCAAAUAAAUGUAUAUUGGCCUAACUGGUGGACAAAUGACACAAGCUCUUCCACCCUCCCUCCCUUUUUGAGUCCUUACAGAGACUUUUCCCCCUUGAAGAUGGAAGAGAACUGACUGAGGCUACUGAAGCAAAAUGCCACUCAUCUCCUGUGACCCUAAGCCUUUGUCAUCCUAAUCCUGAGAUGAGUUUCUAACCAGACCAUGCCAAGGAGAGGGACUCAGAUAACUCUGCCACUCCACUGGCUACAGCUGAAUCCCAAACACCAUCUCAGAUGAAAUGGUAUCAGACUAAUAGCAGCAACUCCUCCAGCUCAUCUCAACUUUUCUUUCCCCCAGAGAGAUGUUACCAAAUAAGAUGGUCAAAGCUAAAGGAAACAAGAACUGUUAAAAUUAAAGCCUUUCAAAUAGCCACAGGAAGGAGGAGGUACAGCAUUCUCCUACUACAGAGAAGGUGGAGAAUCCAUUGGAGAGCAAGUCAUCCAGCCCCUACCUCUACCAAUGCAUCAGUUUCCUAUUUAAGAGGGAGAUGGAGGGGAAUCAUGGAAAAAACAAAACCCCAGACAGGAAGGAGAUCAUAAUAGAACAGAACAAGGGAGCAAAAAAGGGCCAGAAACCUUAAUGAAGCAUACCCAGAUAUUCUUGGCCUUUUAUGGUCCAUCAACUCUCCCAGAGGUCACAUCACUGACUUAAUCCUAUCAAAAUUUAUCUUCUCCUCUACUCAUUUUUACUGAUCCAAACUUCAGCUAUCAUUCCAAUUCUGUAUUGUUCUGCCUAAAUAAACAGU